rnacentral:lncRNA from 1 species
CAAGAUCUAUGUAUAAGUCAUAACACAUGGUAAUUUGUGAAUUUUGUUUAUGUUUUAUCAAGGAACAAAUAGAAAUACCUUUAGGGGAACCUAAAACUAAUGGAACAAAUAGUAGCAUAGGCUGCCGAUUGCGACGACAGAAAUUCCUCCCCCCACCAACUUCAUAAAGUAGUACUACGUUUCUUGAACUGCAGCGCUAUAAAUUAACAAAAGCAAACAUUAAUAAAAGAGGUUAGAUAAUCUGAAUGAAAACAACAAAGAAAGAAGAGUAAUUUCAUUAGUAGUCCUUAAACUCGUCCCGAGUUCUCAUCUCGGUCCCUGUAUUCUCAAAAUGCACACAGCAAUCCUUAAACUUGUCCCGAGUUCUCAUCCUAGUCCUGGUACUCUCGAAAUGCACAUAACAGUUCAUAAACUUUUUCCGAGCUCUCAUCCAGAUCCAUAAACUUGUUUCGAACUCUCAUCCAGGUUCAUAAACUUGUCCCGAGCUCUCA